GCUCCCUCUCCUCCUUCUCUUCGUCAUCUCCCAUCUCCCAUCUCCAAUCUCCGAUCUCGCUUCACCACCGCAUCCAAUGCCACUCUCAGCCCUCCACUUCCAUCCAUCCAUGGCGUCUUUAUUCGAAUCCUUCUGACAGUUUGUUUGAAUAUACAAUGCCUUCCUGAGGGCGAGUAGCAUUGUCCAUAUUGCACAGAAAGCUUUUCUGAAAUAGCAUCUACAGUUGCAGCCGUAUGUACUGCCCAACCUCUUUCAAUUCAUUCAAAACGCAUCCUUAAAGCACCAACAAAUUUUCUUGGUGGUAGUGCCUUUUGCAAGAGAAAUUUCUCAAAGCUUGCCAAGACAUAUUGGCUCGAGAAGGCCAAGGGGUACAAAUUGAUGAUGAUAAACUAUGGUGGAACAUUUUCGGUGUAGCAAAAAAUCGAUGUUAUGGCAUGGGUAACCUUAUUGAGGAGAUAUCUUCCGAUUAUUCUCAUUCGCAAUCUCAAUGGUCUACUUCGACUACUCAGCAAUUUGUUUCUUAUGCCCCUGCAGAGGUUAUGAGUAAGCUAGAAUUUUUAGAAAAACCAUAUGAGGAGCAGAAGCAGCAGAACCAGUACAUCUUUCCCUCUUAGAAUCUUGAGAUGUUCAGGUAAAUUUUGAUGCUACCAGGACUGGGGAGUCUGCUUCCCAUGCCCCUCACACAUUAGAGGAUGUUGAAUAGACUCAGCCUUUAGCCCAAUAGCAAGAUAAGGGUGUCGAUGAAAUUACAGCAAAAUAAAUGUGAUGUUUUGGAUUAUUACAUUAGAUACUUUUUUAACUUUCUAUUGUUACAUUAGAUGUUGAGACUUAUA